rnacentral:sRNA from 1 species
GCAGGGUGUGGUGGUGCACGUCUGUAAUCCCAGUGGCUUGGGAGGCUGAGACAGGAGGAUCAUGAAUUCCAAGCCAGCCUCAGCAACGGUGAGGUGCUAAGCAACACAGUGAGACCCUGUCUCUA